rnacentral:rRNA from 1 species
UACGGAGGGUGCAAGCGUUGUCCGGAUUCAUUGGGUUUAAAGGGUGCGCAGGCGGGACAUUAAGUCAGGGGUGAAAGACGGUUGCUCAACAAUCGCAGUGCCUUUGAUACUGGUGUUCUUGGGUAACCUUGAGGUAGGCGGAAUGGGUGGUGUAGCGGUGAAAUGCAUAGAUACCACCCAGAACUCCGAUUGCGAAGGCAGCCUACUGGAGGUCAACCGACGCUCAGGCACGAAAGCGUGGGGAUCAAACAGGAUUAGAUACCCUGGUAGUCCACGCCGUAAACGAUGAUCACUCGCUGUGGGAAGGCAACUUUCCGCGGCUUAGCGAAAGCGUUAAGUGAUCCACCUGGGGAGUACGCUCGCAAGGGUGAA